GACAGGAACAGCACAUCUGAACCUUCAGCCAUGCUGAAGGUAUCAGUACGGCAAGAUUUCUGCUAUAUUUACUUCCAAAAUCUGCCCAGAUACAACCAUAGAUUAUCUACUCCCUUUCAUUUUUCUUUUUUUUCAUUCUUCCUGAACUGAAGAGGCUGUUCUUUAAAGUCUGUGAUGCAAGACAUUGUGAGCAUCUUUACCUGGACACGUCUAAGUGAGGAAAAUCAAGGUUCAAGCUGCAGACAUGGUUGGGACAUCCACUGAAUCCAGUAUUCUUGGUACUGAAGAGCCUUGGACCCACCUAACACGGCUAUAGACUUUGGGGUCUGGCACUCAUUGGGAUAUCUGUGAAAAUCAUUCCACUGCACAGGAAAGAUCUGCUUGGGGUUAUCCAUCUGUCAGAAAUGCAUGUUUUUACCUGUAUUGUCACUAAGGCAAGCAGGAGGUCUGAUGCAUCCGACCACAGUGUUGUGAUAAAGGAAGGGAAGCAGAUCUCAGCCAGGAGAUGAAACGGUGAGCUCCUCCUGCACAUAGUAGCAGGUUUCUGCAAGCGAAAAAGAAAAAAAAACAAAAAAAAAACAACCCCCAAACAAAACUGUAGACGAAAUGAAAGAAGUGGAGGCAACUUCAAGCUUCAGUUUACUGCAAUACACAAAUUUGAUCAGCUUAAUAUGUGACUCAGAGGCUAUACUGAGUGAAAAGACAUGGCAAUGUCCUGGAAAAACUGGAAAUACACUCUUUUGGCAUCUGAGUGGAUGUGGGACAUAGAGUGCUGCUUGAGUAUUUAUUACUUUGCAUGUAUUGUUUUGAUGAGACAAGGACCAGGUUUUCAAGCAAUGUGAAAGAGGCAAAUGUCCAUGUGCCUCUUCCGGCCUGUCUUCAGCCAGAGCACUGAGAUUUUUAGGGAAGAUAUGGAAGAAGAAAGAAGUACUGUUGCUACAGGAUGCACUCCAGCUGGAAUAAUGUAGAGGGACUUGUCCUGUUGAUUCUAAGAAGAUAUUUUCCACACUGCUUUGUAACCAAAUAAGCCUUUGCUGCAAGAACUGGCUCAUUGAGACCAAGAAGAGAAAGGGAUCUGCACAGAAUUCUUAGUAAUGCUCCUAAGUUGAAGUAAGACGCCUCAAAUGAUCACCGUCUUCAUGUCAUUCUUUACAAUACUCCAUGUUUUCUUAGUUGCAAUGAUACAAAUAUAGGAAGUAUCUAUAGAUUGCAUAAAUGUUGAUCAGAAGUGUUGUUUCAGCAUGAAAUGUAUUGUCUCUUCCUGCGAAGCUAAAGGCUCUUUGGUCAUGCAGCUUAAAGUGAUGUGAUCUCUUGAGGAUUGUCAAGUUUGUCAUUAUUUCUGAACUCCCAGAAUGAAUUAAAAUAA